CCUACGGGAGGCAGCAGUGGGGAAUAUUGCGCAAUGGGCGAAAGCCUGACGCAGCGACGCCGCGUGAGGGAUGAAGGUCUUCGGAUCGUAAACCUCUGUCAGCAGGGAAGAACGGUCACUGUGCUAAUCAGCAGUGAAUUGACGGUACCUGCAAAGGAAGCACCGGCUAACUCCGUGCCAGCAGCCGCGGUAAUACGGAGGGUGCGAGCGUUAAUCGGAAUUACUGGGCGUAAAGCGCUCGUAGGCGGUAUGUCAAGUCAAGGGUGAAAUCCCCGCGCUCAACGUGGGAACUGCCGUUGAAACUGGCAAACUGGAGUGUGUGAGAGGAUAGUGGAAUGCCAGGUGUAGGAGUGAAAGCCGUAGAUAUCUGGAGGAACAUCAGUGGCGAAGGCGACUAUCUGGCACAUAACUGACGCUGAGGAGCGAAAGCGUGGGUAGCAAACAGGAUUAGAUACCCCAGUAGUC
rnacentral:rRNA from 1 species